CUUACACAUGCAAGUCGAACGAUGAAGCCCAGCUUGCUGGGUGGAUUAGUGGCGAACGGGUGAGUAACACGUGAGUAACCUGCCCUUGACUCUGGGAUAAGCGCUGGAAACGGCGUCUAAUACCGGAUACGACCUGCCCCGGCAUCGGGUGCGGGUGGAAAGUUUUUCGGUCAAGGAUGGACUCGCGGCCUAUCAGCUUGUUGGUGAGGUAAUGGCUCACCAAGGCGACGACGGGUAGCCGGCCUGAUAGGGUGACCGGCCACACUGGGACUGAGACACGGCCCAGACUCCUACGGGAGGCAGCAGUGGGGAAUAUUGCACAAUGGGCGAAAGCCUGAUGCAGCAACGCCGCGUGGGGGAUGACGGCCUUCGGGUUGUAAACCUCUUUUAGUAGGGAAGAAGGACUUCGGUUUGACGGUACUGCAGAAAAAGCACCGGCUAACUACGUGCCAGCAGCCGCGGUAAUACGUAGGGUGCAAGCGUUGUCCGGAAUUAUUGGGCGUAAAGAGCUCGUAGGCGGUUUGUCGCGUCUGCUGUGAAAACCCGAGGCUCAACCUCGGGCCUGCAGUGGGUACGGGCAGACUAUAGUGCGGUAGGGGAGAAUGGAAUUCCUGGUGUAGCGGUGGAAUGCGCAGAUAUCAGGAGGAACACCGAUGGCGAAGGCAGUU
rnacentral:rRNA from 1 species